GUGAGGAAUAUUGGACAAUGGGCGCAAGCCUGAUCCAGCCAUGCCGCGUGCAGGAAGACGCAUCUAUGGUGUGUAAACUGCUUUUGUACGGGAAGAAACACUCCCUCGUGAGGGAGCUUGACGGUACCGUAAGAAUAAGGAUCGGCUAACUCCGUGCCAGCAGCCGCGGUAAUACGGAGGAUCCAAGCGUUAUCCGGAAUCAUUGGGUUUAAAGGGUCCGUAGGCGGUUUAAUAAGUCAGUGGUGAAAGCCCAUCGCUCAACGAUGGAACGGCCAUUGAUACUGUUAGACUUGAAUUACAAGGAAGAAACUAGAAUAUGUAGUGUAGCGGUGAAAUGCUUAGAUAUUACAUGGAAUACCAAUUGCGAAGGCAGGUUACUACUUGUGGAUUGACGCUGAUGGACGAAAGCGUGGGGAGCGAACAGGAUUAGAAACCCUAGUAGUCC
rnacentral:rRNA from 1 species